rnacentral:rRNA from 1 species
GAUGAACGCUGGCGGCGUGCCUUAUACAUGCAAGUCGAGUGGGUUUAGACCCACGGCAAACGGGUGAGUAACACGUAGGUACUUCCCUUGUCACAGGAAUAACCCUCCGAAAGGAGGGCUAAUACCUGAUGUGAUCGCAAGAUUAAAGGGUAUCCGCAAGGAUUACCGGACAAGAAGAGGCCUGCGGCCUAUCAGCUAGUUGGCGGGGUAAAUGCCCACCAAGGCUAUGACGGGUAGCUGGUCUUAUGAGGAUGAUCAGUCACAUGGGCACUGAGACACGGGCCCAACUCCUACGGGAGGCAGCAGUAGGGAAUUUUGCGCAAUGGGCGAAAGCCUGACGCAGCGACGCCGCGUGCGGGAUGAAGGCCUUCGGGUCGUAAACCGCUUUUAUAAGGGACGAACUUUGACGGUACCUUAUGAAUAAGAGGUUGCUAACUCUGUG